GGGCCUAAAAAUAAUUUUAAGAAAAUUAUAAUCCCCCCACAAAGUAAUUGAAUUAAUUAGAAAUUAUAUCAUAUUUUACUGUGUAUAAAAUAAAUACGUAUACAAAUAUGUAAAAGUCAGAAUCAGAACUUCAUGUUUAAAAGAUGUCUUAAGGUUCAUCUAGUGUAACUCACCCUCCUUGUGCUCGGAUACUAUCGAAACAGUGUCUGUUUGGAAGGCCUCCUUCUAAAUAUUUCCUUCCUUGUGAAUUUUCCCUUGGCUCUUGGGCACCAUAGAGAUAUUUCUUAUGUCUUAUAGUUACUCUGUUAUGAUAUUUAAUAGUUCUUUAAGCUUCCUUUGUUUAAAUCGUUUUAUGGUUUCUAUCUUCUCACUGGACCCAAAUUCAUACAAA